GAUCCACUCUGCUGGAGUUUCAUAAAUGAGCCCAGGAUACAGUCCUGCUUUUAAGAAGCAUUGUGCAGCUAUCUGCUGUGUCGAUCUGUCACACAGACUGUGGCUUUGAAGGUGUCUGCACAAGAGCUGCUAUCCACCCUGCAAAAAUGGAGGGGCAUCUCCAGGGACAGAUACUCCACCACCACCCUGGAUAGCUUGUUCCACUACCUCACCUCUCCUUCUGUGAAGAAGUUCUUCCUAAUUCCCAACCUGAGCUUCCUAUCAGGCUGUAUGUGCACGAAUACACCAAGCAGCAGCUUUAAAGGAUGUCUGAAAGUGAGACCGAAGGAGAACAGGAUGAAGAAUUUCCCAACGAUAAAGGGAAGGUCAUCACAUGAAAAGCUAAAUGUCAUAUUUGUUGCUCAACUUAGUAGCAUUACAUCUGGAAAAAUGUAGCUCUUCAGCUCUGCCACUGAAAUAAGCUGAAGUCAAACAGAAGUCCUUGAGUGCAAACACACAGAUCAGAAUUAAAUUUCCUUCUAACUCCUGGGUAAUAGAGUUCUGUCGGAGCCAGGAGUCAAUUAAGUGGAUAAAUACACACGUAGUUCACUAACACUUAGCAUUUCAGUGGUAUUUUGCUGAAGUAAGCACUUAAUGUGAUUAUUGUGUUUCAGCCUGAUUUAAGAUGACAAGUUUUGCAUUUCCUAAAUAUUAAUUAGCCCUGAAUUUCUAUUUAUUUAAACUCUGAGGCAGCGAGUGGGUAGUUGUGUGAUUUACCUCUACCUCCUGGCACUUAUCUCAACUGGGACAUUUGAAAUGCAAUUCUAAACAAUUAGCCUUCGUGCCUGUCAGCAUAAAGAAUGAAGAAUUGAGGUUGUUUUGUUUAUUUGCAGGAAUGAUCCUCAUACAAACUAUAUCUACAACAAAUGCAGGGAUCUGCUUGUUUGCAGCAGACUGCAGGAUUAGCUUUUUUGAUACCCAGUAAUAGAAAAACAAUAGAUUUUUAGAUAGGGAUUUUGUUGUUUAUUUUUUCAGGGCUGGGCUAUCUCCCUAAGGCUGGCUUUUAGGGACAGUACCAAAGGCACAUGGUGCUGAAUUGCUUGUACUGUGCUGCUGGGGUAAAGCACUCAGGUGCCUGCCCAGCAGGAAAUGCUUUAGCUGGUUGAAUAAUGCCCUUGGAAUGGGAAUGAGAGAGAUGGAUCUGCAGUAGUCCACUGCUGGGCUGGGGCUGCUGCCAUGCAUGUGAAGAAAUCCAUUUCCACAACAGGAGAGCCUUGCCGUAAAGAGAACAUUUUCCAAAUCAGACUCCUUUGUAGCAGCUUGGGGUGGGCUGAAUUCCUCCAGUAGCUCUGAAACCCUCACCCCAUGGCAUCCAAGAACUCACAGGCCAACUGCGAAAGCAUCAUUCAGCUCACCAGUGGCGCAGGGGGAGGAUGGUAUUUAAAUCUUUAAAUGGGCAGAGAUUAAAGGACUCUGGACACCCAGAGCUCCUUUGGAAUUCAAUGGGAGUUUGUGUACUCGGCAACGAAAAUAGUAAUAUUUUUACAGAGCAAUGCCGACUGGAGCAUUGCAGAUCUAUCCCCAGGACUGCUGCUCCAUUUCUCCAAUCCAAUUAUGGCCCUUGUUGCGCACACUUUGCUAUUACUCUAUAUGUAAUGAGGUGAUGGCUGAAGUAUUUCAGCUGUAAUGGAUGAGUGGCAACCAAUUUGCCUUGACACAUGCCUCUUCCUUUUAAAUACUUUCUCUCUUUUAAACACUGAGAAGCUGAAAUAUUUGUCUGU